rnacentral:rRNA from 1 species
AAUGAGCGGCGGACGGGUGAGUAACACGUAAGGAACCUGCCUCAAGGAUUGGGAUAACUCCGAGAAAUCGGAGCUAAUACCGGAUAGUUCAACGGACCGCAUGGUCCGCUGAUGAAAGGCGCUUCGGCGUCACCUUGAGAUGGCCUUGCGGUGCAUUAGCUAGUUGGUGAGGUAACGGCUCACCAAGGCGACGAUGCAUAGCCGACCUGAGAGGGUGAUCGGCCACACUGGGACUGAGACACGGCCCAGACUCCUACGGGAGGCAGCAGUAGGGAAUCUUCCACAAUGGACGAAAGUCUGAUGGAGCAACGCCGCGUGAGUGAUGAAGGUUUUCGGAUCGUAAAACUCUGUUGUAAGGGAAGAACACGUACGAGAGGUAAUGCUCGUACCUUGACGGUACCUUACGAGAAAGCCACGGCUAACUACGUGCCAGCAGCCGCGGUAAUACGUAGGUGGCAAGCGUUGUCCGGAAUUAUUGGGCGUAAAGCGCGCGCAGGCGGCCUUUUAAGUCUGAUGUGAAAGCCCCCGGCUCAACCGGGGAGGGCCAUUGGAAACUGGAAGGCUUGAGUACAGAAGAGAAGAGUGGAAUUCCACGUGUAGCGGUGAAAUGCGUAGAGAUGUGGAGGAACACCAGUGGCGAAGGCGACUCUUUGGUCUGUAACUGACGCUGAGGCGCGAAAGCGUGGGGAGCAAACAGGAUUAGAUACCCUGGUAGUCCACGCCGUAAACGAUGAGUGCUAGGUGUUGGGGGGGUUUCCGCCCCUCAGUGCUGAAGCUAACGCAUUAAGCACUCCGCCUGGGGGAGUACGGCCGCAAGGCUGAAACUCCAAAGGAAUUGACGGG